rnacentral:lncRNA from 1 species
AUCAAAGACAAAUGCUGUAAGUUACCACUUGUGCAAUCUGGGGGAAAAAAAAUGAAUAUAAGAAAACAGGAGCAGAUUCACAGAACAAACUAGUGGUUAAAUGGGGGAGAGGAAUGGGAGGAGGGGCAAGAUAGGGACAAGGGAUUAAGAGGUACAAGCUAUUAUGCAGAUAUACUGUACAGCAUAGGAAAUAUUGCCAAUAUUUUAUAAUAACUUUACAUAGAGUAUAACCCAUAAAAAUACUGAAUCACUAUGUUGUACAUCUGAAACAAACUACCACUAUAACUCAACUAUACUUCAAUAAGGACAAAAAGAGGGGAACUCACAAAGGGACGAGUGGACAGAGAGGUGGAAGAAACUUGAGAGUUGUUAAUAUCAGAAACCAAGGAGAGUUCUUUACUUAAUGGUAAUAACUAAAACCUAGCAACAGAUAACAUCCAUAGGAGAGCUCCCAGGAAGAAUCUGUCCACUGCGGCAGGCAACCUGUAAAAUAACCCCAAUAUUUUCUGCCUAAUAUUUACAUCUUUAAGUAAUCUGCUCCCUUAAAUGUUGGCUGGACCUUAAGUGUGACUUCAAAAUAAGAGACUAGAAAAUCACUUCCAAGAUUAAGUUACAUGAAGACCGACUUCAGCUUUGUUUACCUCUCUAAACCUGUGCUCUGAGAGAAAGCAGCAAGCUGUCCUGUUGUGAGUAACCCUGUGGAGAGGGCAAUAUGGCAAGGAACUGAUACCUCCUAAACAGCAGCCAGCAAGGAUCUGAGAUCUGACAACUGCUACAUGAGUAAGCUUGUACCCUUCAGACCCUUCUUACUAUCCUUCAGGCACAAGAUGAUUAUGGCCUAUGGAUUCCUGCACUGCAACUUUGUGAGAACACUUUGUCAGAAGCAUCUAGCCAGGCUGUGCCUCUGAAUAAAAAGCCAAAAAAUUUUUUAAAAAUAGGUAAACUUGGGAGUUUAGCUAUUUCUAAACUCAUCGUGUAGCAACCAGUAAAUAACACAUCAAUAACAGUCUAUGAAAACCAUGGAGAAGGGAUUUUAUGACAUAUAUUUGGCAGCAUAAAAAAGAAAUUAUUGUAAAUUAUCAAAAUUACUAGGAGAUCACUAAUGACCUCCAUGAGAGGGACAUUAGUGGUCACCAGGAGACAGGCCAAGACUCCUCCAUAGAGAGGAUAAAACCAUUAGGCAAUAAGACCAGGGCCCGGCCCAAGCCCCAGUCCCUCCAAACCCUUCCAAAUACAUCAGAUGGUCUACAAGUUGAAGUGCUGACCCAUCUCCCCUUCCCUUCAGUAGGCAUGCUGCGUAGUUAAAAUUUAAUCACAGUGCUCACUAUUGUUUCAUGUGUAUUAUCUUUUCAUCAGUUCCUGAGGACAGACCUUGGGUUUGCUUCCUAUCUCUUCUUUGCCUCCACUCCUAACCAAACAACUAGCUUUGAGGGCAGCAAAAAUUUUCCAUAACCCUUCUAAGUCCAAAACCAGUAUUCCAUUUCUAGGUUUCUAAAAUACAAUUUGACUAGACUUAUCAGGAAAUAAAAUGUAUUAAAAAUUUGCAUUUCUUCCACCUUCAUCACCCAUCAAAGCUGGAGAUAAUUUUCCAUAAUCUCAUUCUAGGUUGGUUUGUCUUCAAUUGUGAUAACAAUUGUGAUCAUUAUUUUAUGUUAUCACUUACAAAGUUUAUUUGGUAAUAUUUCUUCUGACAUGAUACAUCUCAAUUC